rnacentral:rRNA from 1 species
UCGGGAAUUUUGGGCAAUGGGCGAAAGCCUGACCCAGCAACGCCGCGUGAAGGAUGAAGUAUUUCGGUAUGUAAACUUCGAAAGAAUAGGAAGAAUAAAUGACGGUACUAUUUAUAAGGUCCGGCUAACUACGUGCCAGCAGCCGCGGUAAUACGUAGGGACCAAGCGUUGUUCGGAUUUACUGGGCGUAAAGGGCGCGUAGGCGGCAAUUCAAGUCAUCUGUGAAAUCUCCGGGCUUAACUCGGAACGGUCAGAUGAUACUGCUUUGCUAGAGUGCAGAAGGGGCAAUCGGAAUUCUUGGUGUAGCGGUGAAAUGCGUAGAUAUCAAGAGGAACACCUGAGGUGAAGACGGGUUGCUGGGCUGACACUGACGCUGAGGCGCGAAAGCCAGGGGAGCAAACAGGAUUAGAUACCCCAGUAGUCCCUGAGCGGGCUGGCAAGGCGC